GUUGUUCAGUUUUGAGUUCGCUGGAAAAUCAUACUGUGACUGAAUACACCACUCUUGCCUUCACCUGCAUCUCUCACAGGAAGGGGACGCUCAUUCAGUUUUCAACUCCAAUCAGAAUCUUAUAGGAUGUGAGAAUAACAGUGUAAAAGAACCUGUU